GGGAGAGCAUGUGAUGUGAGAGCGAAUCGAUAAAAGGAUUCCUUCCUUCACUUUUCACUUUGCUGCUUCUCUCUUUACUGCAGCAGUUAUAGCUUCAUUCCCAACCAAUCCUGGGAAACAGUGGGGGAAAAUCACUGCUCGUCUUUCUCUGCUCCACUCUCUUCGGUUCCACAAUAUAUUGUUGUCAUCAAGGACUGUUUCCUUUGUCCACCUGGACCUUUUAUUGAUUUUUGGACCACACUGUUUGAAGGUGAGUGUGGCACAGUCUGGUUUAAUUACAUUUUCGGUUUCUUUACAUUUAUCUCUUUGUGUGUGUGCAUGACUUAUUUCGUGUCUAAUAGUACAAUACACAUACUAUCAUUUGAAGCUUUAGUUAACAGUCUCUUUCUGAAUUGGAUGAUCUGUGUGAGGAGAAUAAUAAUUGCAAUGUGUUAUAUGUUUUUUUUCCCUCACACUUUACAG
ensembl:lncRNA